rnacentral:misc_RNA from 1 species
GGAAAGCAUUCAUGGGUUCGAUGAGAUAGAUUGGCGAAAUUGGCAUAUCCCUUGAUGAUUUUCUCAUUUUGGUCAGAUGGGAUUCCUCCUUUGAACUUGGCUAGCAAGAUGUGCUUUACCACUUCCUUCGCUUCAUCCAUUGUCUUUCUGCUAUACAAUCUUUCACAAUCAUUUUUUUUAAGAGAGAAAGCACUAUUUUUCUUCAAUACCCAAUGUAUCUAAUAAUCAGUCCAGCCAACUAGUUCUCUCUUUGAAGCUGGAGUCCCUGACCACUGUACUGCUAAAAGAACGGCGGUGCAACCUUCGGAGUUUUGGUCUCUCCGAUCAAGACCAUUUU